rnacentral:rRNA from 1 species
GACGAACGCUGGCGGCGUGCUUAACACAUGCAAGUCGAACGAAGUUGCGAACGGUUGAGUAACGCGUCGGUAACUUCCUGGACGCGGGGGAUACAUAUUGGAAACGCUAGCUAACACCGCAUACUUCCAGUUUCACCUGCGUUGUAUUCGCUAGUUGGUGGGGUAACGGCUCACCAAGGCACCGAACAAUACCCGACCUGAGAGGGUGAUCGGCCACACUGGGACGGGGACACGGCCCAGACUCCUACGGGAGGGAGCAGUAGGGAAUCUUCGGCAAUUGACGGAAGUCUGACCGAGCAACGCCGCGUGAGUGAAGAAGGUUUUCGGAUCGGAAAGCUCUGUUGUAAGAGAAGCGGUAUCUUACCAGAAAGGGACGGCUAACUACGUGCCAGCAGCCGCGGUAAUAC